AGCCUCUGAUUCCAGAGCUCUGCUCUGUCCAGUCCUGCAAUGUCUCUGGGCCUCAGUGUCUGUGCUGUCUCUUAGCUUGGUACUGGCAGUCCUAUCUGAAGUUCCUGGCUGUGGGGCAUGCUCAUGGGGCAGGGGCAGCCCACCACCACACCAAUACAGCCUUGUUCCCAACAUGGGGAUACUGGACUUUAGACCUCAGAGAGGCUUGGUAGUGAUCUUUGGACCAGUACUGGCCUGCAGGAGCCUAUCUUCAUGAAGGCAAGAAGUGGCUCAUCUUCUGGAUGCAUACCUCAUGGCAGAAGGGAAAGAGGAGUGUCCUACAUGCUGUAUGCGCUCUCAAAGAAGCCUGUGCCUACUGGACGGCAUCAGUGGCCAGUGCAGACACUGAACUGGGAUAGCUGGCCCAAACCAUCCUGCUUGGUGCUGCCCACCUCAAGAGACUCCACCCACCAGCCAUCCUAUCCUGUAUCUCCAACCCUACUGGACUUGCACCAACUCAAGCCUCAGCUUCCUCUCCUGCCAUCCCGAGGCCCCGUUGAUGCAGAGUCUGGGACCACACAGACAUGGAGCAAGUCCUGACUUCAGAGAGACCUUGCCUGUUGAAGGUUGCUUUUCUCUUUUGUUGUUUGUUUGUGUUUGCCUGAGAGGGCAGGAAAUAGAUACUUCAAGAUGUCAAAAA